ensembl:lncRNA
GGACAACCAAUUAGACCAGUUUGAAGACAAUGCAGUCUAUGAAGACAUUCUUCUGACUGGACAGGAGAGGUGUGUCGAGGAUUGGCCUGAUGAUAGUCCUGAGCUCAAACCUGACUGGAAACCUUCUGGCAAGCUGAGGCUUAGGAGGGAGUCCAUAUUGGUUAAAGCCAGAACUGAUGGUGGGUUUGAAGAGCUGGAAGAGAAUGGAAUGGGAAAAGAUGAAAAAAAUAAAAGGGGGAGAAAAUUCAAGGUAUCCUUUCUGUCCAGAAGAGGGUCAAAAAAUACAUUUUCUGAUGAUUUGAAGAAUGGUGACAGCAGCACACUACGUCGUGGAUCGAAGGAGACAUUUUCUGAAUCUAAGGAUGGAGAGGGCAGUCGUUUUCGUCGGCGGUCAGAGGAGGGCUUUUUGCAUCAAGACUUUACAAAGAAAGGGGUAGAGGUGUUUGAAGAUGAAGACAAGGAAAAUUAUAUGGGGCAUGGCAAACGGAAGUCAUCAGAAGUCAAAUUCCAGUUUCCUGUGUUUCAGCAAAGGGGAUUUAAGGAUGCAUUGUCAGCUGAAAGUCUAGAAAAAUCAACCCUUUGUUCUCAAGAUGGAUCAAAGCAGGAGGGCCUUCUUGGUGAUGACUUUCCUCAGAAGGAAGCCGCUUUAUCUUCAUGGGCGAAUGGGGAUGAACAGAUUGGGAUGGAAGGUGGCGAAAUGGUCACAGGCCUGUAUGAGAAAUCUGAAGAGGAAGAAGAUGAACUUGAUGAGACGAGUCAACUUAAAAGACAUAAACUGAUUAAAAUGAAGUUUGUGCCUCGCAGAGGGUUGACCAUCAUCCGCGC